rnacentral:lncRNA from 1 species
GAGGUCUCUAUUCUUUCUUUGAACAUUAUGAACAUAAAAUGUAAUAAUAGGUAAACCUGCACUGUAAACACCCCCACCCCACCCGGCCGGCCAGUGUUUUGCUUUGAAAUAAGGCCUUUUUGUGCCUCUGCUGGGAGGAGGGCCUUGUUUCUGCAGGACUGCUGCAUGAUUCUGGGGCCACGCAUGCUGGGGUUUCAUCAGGUGGGAGUAAGCAUGUGAGAAACAAGCCCAGGCAUGUCUUGGGAGCAUGCUGAUUCGGUUCUCUAUGUAUAUUGCUGAUUUUCUAUAUCCAGAUGUUUUGAUAUCCUGCCCUGUCCUUUCUCUAUGAUCUAACAGAGAAUCUGGAUGACAAGUUAGGGUCAGAAUGACAUGGUCCGUUCUAUCUAAGUAGUUAAUCUAUUUAAAAAGAUGAUUUCAUUACCCUGCCUCCAAUAUCCCUAAUCAUCUUUGCUCUUUGAAUGUCUUAGUUGGGAGACAUAAUAUUGUUUCAGAGAAACUUACUGUUUAAAUGUAUCAGAUCUGUAUCACUUUCCUUUGUGUUUCCAGAGAUACGGGUAGUUGAUUAUUAUCCUUUUCUAGCCAUUAUGAUUAAUGAAAAGUGUUGCUAAAUAUUAAGACUAACCACUCUUAACUGAAUGACUUCCCAGUCAGUGGCUCCUCUCCACUGUGUGUCUACAAAUGUUUUUUUCCCUCUUAAAGCGUCCUUGAGUCAUUUUAGUAAGACUGUUAGUGUCCUAGCCUACACAUCUUCAUCACAGACAGGGAAGCUCAGUAGCCGAAGACACCGAAUUCUGUUGACC